GAUCAGCGAAGGACUGCCUUAAUUCAUGAUC
ncrna:unclassified sequences S4-Flavobacteria ribosomal protein leader